UACGGGGGGAGCAAGCGUUGUUCGGAUUUACUGGGCGUAAAGGGCGCGUAGGCGGCCACCGCAAGUCGACUGUGAAAUCUCCGGGCUUAACUCGGAAAGGUCAGCCGAUACUGCGGGGCUAGAGUGCAGAAGGGGCAACUGGAAUUCUCGGUGUAGCGGUGAAAUGCGUAGAUAUCGAGAGGAACACCUGCGGCGAAGGCGGGUUGCUGGGCUGACACUGACGCUGAGGCGCGAAAGCUAGGGGAGCGAA
rnacentral:rRNA from 1 species